rnacentral:misc_RNA from 1 species
GAAAUGCGAUAAGUAAUGUGAAUUGCAGAAUUCAGUGAAGCAUCGAAUCUUUGAACGCACCUUGCGCCUUUUGGUAUUCCGAAAGGCAUGCCUGUUUGAGUGUCAUGAAAUCUCAAUCCCCCCGGGUUUUCUGAACCCGAGGUGGACUUGGACAUGGGUGUCUGCCGUCUCGUACGGCUCGCCUUAAAUGACUCAGUGGGAUCUUCAGCAUCCGUGGCCGACCGAAUAAGUCACGUCUCGUCCCUUGCUGUGAAGACCGCUCAUAACCUGCCAUCGCGCACCACGUUUGACCUUGACCUCAAAUCAGGUAGGACUACCCGCUGAACUUAA